rnacentral:lncRNA from 1 species
GAUCCUCGAAACCCAGAUCAAAGUGACGUUUUGUUAUCGAUUUUAGCUUGUGGGGUUUGAAUAUUAUUUCUCUUAUCUGUUUAUGAGUCGAUCUGGAUGUAUGAAUGAAUUUAAAAACAGAGGAAAACAGGGGUUGACUGAGAGGUAUUAGAAUACGAAAAAAAACAGAGUCAAACAUGGAUUAUCGUUUGUUUAGCAUGGAUUUGAAGCUAAUUUUGAUGUUUUAUCCUGGUUGAGUUGAUCACAAGAACUGAAAGAAUGAAGGGUAAUUGGAGUUCUGAAUUGCAGUUGCAGGGGUGGUCCAACAGAUUACAAAGAGAUGAGGUGGUGGCAGAAUGGAAGAAAGUGAAAGACCAGAUGUCUCUGCAUGUGCACUGCCACAUAAGUGGAGGCCAUUUCCUUCUAGAUUUGUGCGCUAAACUUAGAUACUUCAUCUUCUGCAAAGAGCUUCCAGUGGUAAAUAUCCAGCAAUCUCCCAAGUAUUGGCUUAGUUUCUUCUAGUUGUUUAGUGUAACAAAUUAAUUUCUUAACGGAAUGAUGAAAAAAUCACAGGUUUUGAAGGCUUUUGUUCAUGGAGAUGGCAACCUGCUCAACAAUUACCCAGAAUUACAGGAAGCUUUGGUUUGGGUUUACUUUCACUCGAACCUCCCAGAAUUCAAUAGAGUAGAAUGCUGGGGGGCGCUCAAUAAUGCAGCGGCGCCUCCUCCUCCUGCCGCCGGUGCUGGCGGUGGUAGGGUGGAGGCACACCAGGACAUGAGGCAGGUGGAACCAUCAAGCAAAUGGGAGAGACCAGAAGAGCCAUGCAUUGAGAACUGUACAUGUUGCUUCCCACCAAUGAGCCUCAUCCCAUGGUCACAAGAUCUCGCCCAUGAAAAUAUUCAUGAUACCCAAAAGGGAUUACGGCAGCAAACCUGACCAGAUGAUCUUUACUCUUUAAGAGUCUGUAGGCUGCUAUUCACUAUUUUCAAGCACUUGCAUUGCUACUGUAAAAUUUGUUGUAAAAUGUAAAUAAAAGGUUCAUAUUAGUCGGCAUGGUGGGUUGGAACAUUUAUGGCUAUAUGUCUCUGUUCAUUACCAUCGUCUUUGUACAACGUGACUGCACAAUCUUUCCCUGUUUCAGAAUACUGUUAGUUGCCUUCUCAGGGCCCUGAAUGAUGGCCAUAUCCAAGUAUCGUAUUUUGGUAUUGUGCUGGCUGUUUGAUGGGACCAAAACCAACUACAUUGACACAUAACAAUAGGAAAGGAACAAUCGUGUUCACAAUAAAAGCACGAUUUUUUUUUUGAUAUUUGUGCGGUAGAUCUCAACCUGUAAGACGUGUUGAGUUCGAAUACUCUCCCUAUUAACAUCUGAUUUCCUCAAAUUGUGAGGUCCAUUGGAGUCUAGUGCCAUGUCCAUAUGCAAUGCUCCGCCACUAAUAUUUGUCAUAUAUAAAAAUGAAGAAUUGAGAGGAUUAGAGAAUGGAGCAAAAGAGAUUUUUCUUGGGGGGUGGGGUGGGGUGGGGGGUUGGGUGGGAAUGGCAAGGGGGUGGGUUCGGGACGGGUUGCCCCCAUCCCAACCCCGUCCCGUUUAUUAAAAAUAAUUCCCAUCCCCAUCCCGUUUAAAAAAUUAAACGGGGCGGGGUGGGGCGGGACAGGUAUGGGAAAUUCCCAAACCCGCCCCGUUUAGCCUCUUUUUUUUAAAAAAAUUUGCUUUUAAAAUUUUUAAUUACAUUAAAAUAAAUAUAUUUAUAAAUAAUAAAAUUAUUAUAUUUUUUAUAACUUAUUUUAUUAAUUUUUUUUAUUAUUAUCUAUAUAUUAAAAAUAGUAAAAUAAAAUUAAUUUUAAAUUUUAAAUUAAAUUAAAUUUUAAAAUUGAUUUUAUAUGUAAACGGGGCGGGGCGGGGCGGGGCAAUACCCGAACCCGUCCCAGGUUUAAAAAAAAAAUCUCAUACCCGUUAAAAACCCGUUUAUUAAAUUUCAACCCCGUCCCAUUAGGGGCAGGGCAGGGCGAGUACCCGAAAAAACCCGCCCCGUUGCCAUCCCUAGGGUUGGGGGGUUGGACAGGGGGGGGUCCGAAGGUGGUGGUCAUCCACCAUCAUAUUGAAUGCAUUUAUAACACUUACCUUUGGAUGUCCACGGUAUUAAGAUGAAUAUAUCUCAUUAAAACUUGAAUAUAUCUCAUUAAAACUUUGCUAGUAAAAAAUCUUAGAGGAAAAACCUAACGAAUGGAAAAAAAAAGAUAAUAUCCUUAUAAUUCUUUAGUUGCUCUUAGUCUAUAAGGACUACCUUGUUAAAAAUCUUACUAAUAAAAUCCAUUGGGACAAAACUUUCAUGAAGGGAGAAAGAGUACAUUAUGCUAAUAAUAUCCUUGUAUAAACUUGCUCCCCCUCAUUCUUAUAUUCUUAUACUAAAUCAUUACAAAAUAUCCUUGAGUUGGUGAAUUUCAAUCUUGUGUAUUAACCUCUUAAAUGUUGAGGUUGACAAUGACUUUGUAGAUAAAUUUACAAGAUUAUCACUUGAACAUAUUCGUUGAAUAUCAAUUUUACGAAUCUUUUGGAGUUUAUGUGUAUAAAAGAAUUAUCUGUUUGGUUUUAUCCCAUUUAAUAUAACAUCUUUCCCUCUAUUUGUUCAAUGUAUGUAGUAUUAUCUUCAUAUAAUAUUGCCAAAUUGCCUUUGAUAGAUGAGAGUCCACAUAAUUCCCAAAUAUGCUAGAUCAUAUAUUUUAACCAUAUACAUUUAUGACUUGUUUCAUGAAUUGUAAGUAUUUUUUAAUGGUUUGAUGAUAUGACCACCAUCGUCUAUUUGACAUAUCUCCAUGAAAUAAUAAUAUCAUCACAAUUAAACACAUAUAGAUCUUGUUUGUGGCCUAACUUUAUAUGAAUUUAAAGGGUCUCCUGCAUUUGUAUAUCUAAAUAAUUAUAGCUUUGAUUCUCUUGAAUAAAAUUAACUCAUAUCAAUAUUUUCGUGAAUAUAGUACAAUAUAUGUUUGAUAUCAUUUUAAUGUCUUCGAGUUAGAACAAAACCGAAUCUUGUUAAUAAAUUGACAUAAAAAACAAUCUAUGGGCAUCUAAAAUUGGCACGAUACAUACGUGCACCAAUAACUUUAAGAUAUGAUACUUUAGGACUAAAUAAUUCUUCGUCAUUUUCAUAAGGGUGGAAUGAAUCAGUUUUCAAGUUAAGUGAUUGAAGAACUUAAAGGACUUGCUUUAUACAUAUGAAAACAUUUCAAAAAUUUCUUAGUGUAUGUUGAUUGAUAUACUGAACUCUAAUUGGAAAAUACUUUAUUUAUAAUCUGAGUCAAAUUUUUUUCCUCAAAAUCUAUCAUCUCAAAUUCCUUUAUCAAAUAAUUUAUUAUUCUUGUAAGCUCUUCAAGAGUCCCAAUAAGAUUUACGUUAUUAACAUCCAUUAUAAUAAUUGCAAAUUUUCUUUCUAAUUUCUUUAAUAAAAAUGCAUGAACAUAUAUAUAUAUAGGGUUAUUCACACAAUGUCUUUUUGUAGGUAUUUACUGUCACAUGCAUUCAGAUUGUUUCAAUCCAUACAAAGAUUAUUGUAACUUGAUCACAUAUGUGUUGCAAGGCUCUCCAUUGCUUGCUUUUGGUAAUUUAAAUUAUUCAAAAAAUUAUUUGCUUCAAACAUUUUAAUCUUUUAAGGAAUUAUUUGUUUUAUACAUUUUAAAUCCUUUAAGAAAUUAUUUUCUUCAUGCAAUUUAAAUCUUUUGGGAAAUUAUUUGUUUUAGACAUUUUAAUAUAUAUAUUAGCUAUGUAAUAAAGUAUAAAUUAAGUCCUUCAUAGACUAUUGAUCAUAUAAUUAAAUCAUUACAUGAGUUAAUACAAAGUUUCUAUAGGAACCUUAUGCUACUAAUCAUUUUUUUUUUAUGAUAUCAUUUUUCUUAUUGUGCUUUCAUACAAAUACUUAUUUGUACUCGACAAGCUUUAUGUCUUCAAGUCUUUAGACUACAGGUCCAAAUGUUUCUCAUUUUAUUAACGAGUUUAAUUUUGUCUACACUGUUUCUUUCCAAUUUUUACCAAUCAUUUUUAUAUUGGGAUUUUUCCAUAUUUUGUGGUUCAAAAUUUUCAUCAUUUCUUAUGAUUUUAAAGGCCACUUGGAAAGCGAAAUUAUUGUUAAUAACAAAAUACUUUUGAUCUCAUUUUCCCUCGUAUGUACAUAACUUAUUGAGAUCUCAUUAUUUUCAAAUAGUUGUGCCUCUUUAGAGGCUAUUUAUUCAAUUUAUACAUUUUCAAAGGUUUUUUAUUCAAUAUUUACUUCUUUAAGGGUAUGUGAUUUAUUUGUGCAUCUUUGGGGAUUAUAGAUUCAUUAGUUUUCGAUUGAGUAGUCAUUUUUAUAAGCUCUUCUAGAGUGCCAAGUUUUCCUUCAAGUCCACCACUCUUCAAACAUAUCUUAAACUCACUUAUUAGGUAUCUUAUAAGGACAUUAAUUUGUGUUAGGAUAUUUGCAAUCGAGAUAUAUGACUUUGUUAUUUUUUUUGUAUCAAUAAAUGCAUUUGGUAAUUAGCAAUCCAUAAAAUGGUUGUAAAAACAUUACUUGUCAAGGGUUUUAUAUAUAUCUUAUGAUCGAUAAAGAAUCAAAUCUUAUAUAAAUCCCAAGUCUUGGUGAAGAAACCAUUUUAGAGAAUUGUGUAGGUUCAAUUGGUUCAUAAACUACAUAACUAAACGUUAGUAAGUGAGAAAUUUGAUUUUUUUUUUUCCAACAUAUGCUCAAUAUACAACCCCUAAUUGACGUGUAAUAGUUAAUAAAUGUUUGAAAAGUAAAUUUGUUAGCAUUAUCAAAAUCUAUAAUUUUGAUUGAAUAAUUUAGAAAUUGUGUUUGUAAUUUUAUUAUUUAUGCAAUGAGCUUGGAAAAGGUAAGCAUUACAUUUAAAAAUGAGACAAAUAUAUGAUCACCUGAUUGAAACAUCUAUUAAGAUCAUAAAAUAAUGAAAUAAUUCACUGGGUGGAUACUCCCUGAGGUAGACGUAGAUAUGAUUUUAGUGAAACAUGGCAUACCUAUCAAAUUAAUCAGAAUUCCCAUGUGAGUAUUUGACGUAUCAUUGAAGAGAUUGGGUGAAGCACAAAAAUUUUUGGAUCGUUGCUGGCUUGCGAGAGUUAAAAUUGGCCCAUAAUAUGCAAAUACCCCACGAAAGUCUCUCUCGCCCUCUUAUAAGCUAUUAUUUGUCGAUUUAUUUGGGUGAAGCAAAAAGAACUCGAGGUUGAAGAAGUGUUCAGCAAAGAAGGUAGGAGACAGGGGGGAUGGCUAUUUUGACUACUGCUCUUGUGCUUCCGUCUGAGCUCAAACCUUCUUUCUCUCAACAUCAAAUUUCUCGCUUCGUCUCUAGAAGAAGACCUAGGAAGAGUCACCCUGCUUUUCCUGUAUGUGUAUCUUUUUUUUCUCUGUGGUUUUGAAUAGUUUUCAAGGGUUCAGUGUAUUGUUUUCUCUUGUGAAGUUGAUGGGUUUGAUUGAAUCAGGUUGCAAGGCUGUUCGGUCCAGCGAUUUUCGAAGCUUCAAAGCUUGAGGUUCUGUUUCUGGGAGUGGACGAGAAGAAGCACCAGGGGAAGCUUCCUAGAAUUUACACGCUUACGCAUAGUGACAUGACAUCUAAACUCACUCUGGCUAUAUCUCAAACCAUAAACAACUCUCAGGUAUUAUCGAUUUUAGCUUGUGGGGUUUGAAUAUUAUUUCUCUUAUUUGUCUAUGAGUCGAUCUGAAUGUAUGAAUGAAUUCAAAAACAGAGGAAAACAGGUUUGACCGAGAGGCCUUAGAAUAAGGAAAAAAAAAAAAAACAGAGUCAAACAUGGAUUAUUGUUAGUUUAAUUAGAGCAUGGAUUUCUAGCUAAUUUUGAUGUUGUCAUUGUUGAGUUGAUCACGAGAACUGAAAGAAUGAAGGAUAAUUAGAGUUCUGAAUUGCAGUUGCAGGGGUGGUACAACAGAUUACAGAGAGAUGAGGUGGUGGCCGAAUGGAAGACCAGAUGUCUCUGCAUGUGCAUUGCCACGUGAGUGGAGGCCAUUUCCUUUUAGAUUUGUGUGCUGAACUUAGAUACUUCAUCUUCUGCAAAGAGCUUCCAGUGGUAAAUUUCCAGUAUUCUCCCAAGUAUUGGCUUAGUUUCCUCUAGUUGUUUAGUGAACAAAUUAAUUUCUUGACGGAAGGAUGAAAAUAAUCGAAUAUCACAGGUUUUGAAGGCUUUUGUUCAUGGGGAUAGUAACUUGUUCAAUAAUUACCCAGAAUUACAGGAAGCUUUGGUUUGGGUCUACUUUCACUCAAAC